rnacentral:rRNA from 14 species
UGGUUUAAUUCGAUGCAACGCGAAAAACCUUACCAGGCCUUGACAUCCUGAGAAUUCGCUAGAGAUAGCUUAGUGCCUUCGGGAACUCAGAGACAGGUGUUGCAUGGCUGUCGUCAGCUCGUGUCGUGAGAUGUUGGGUUAAGUCCCGUAACGAGCGCAACCCUUAUCCUUAUUUGCCAGCACGUAAUGGUGGGAACUCUAAGGAGACUGCCGGUGACAAA